rnacentral:rRNA from 1 species
UGCGGGGGGAGCAAGCGUUGUUCGGAUUUACUGGGCGUACAGCGCGCGCAGGCGGUUGCGUAUGUGAGCGGUGACAUCCGCGGGCUCAACCCGCGGCGGCCCGCUUACACAGCGCGACUGGAGGCAGGGAGAGGGAUGUGGAAUACCCGGUGGAGCGGUGAAAUGCGUAGAGAUCGGGUGGAACACCAGCGGCGAAGGCGGCAUCCUGGCCCUGUACUGACGCUGAGGCGCGAUAGCGUGGGGAGCAAACGGG